UCUCAGGCUGUUUCCUCUUCAUUUUGGAGGUUCCCUAGCUGCUGCUACUGUAUGCAUGAGAGAAAGAAGGAUUUACUUGGAGAAGAUUGAUAAAUGCUUGCAGGAGAAGAUUAAUAAAUGCAACCAGAAGAAGAAUGAGUGCUUUUGGUCAUCAGAUGGUGCUGGACUGUGUUCUGCUGCCUUCCAGAACAAUAAUCAGUGAAAGUUGGACCUGUUUUCACCUCUUCCCACAUCCCACCAUUCACAUGGAGGUGGGCAUGGAAGGAGAACAAGAGGUAUUGACUGGUAUCUUCAUAGGAGAAAGUGAGGACUGCAUAUCUUCAUAGUCCAAGGACAGCAAGAAAUUCAAUGACUUGACCAGAACGGGGAAGAUUCCAACGUACUCCAGUCUGAAGAAAGAGAAAUGCACUCUAACUGUACAUUUUACUAGCCAUGACAAAGUGCACUUUUCUGAAGACACCUUUUGCAUGUUCACCCAACUGCACACAUACUUACCACCAAGCUAACAGAUUUACCUUGUAGCCUAAUUCAUAGAAUCCCUCCAGUAUGGAAACGGGCCAUUUGACCCAACAAGUCCACACCAACCCUCCGAAGAGUAACCCACCCAAACACAUUCCCCUACACUAUUACUGUACUUUUACCCCAACUAAUGCACCUAACUCAUACAUCCCUGAAUACUAUGGGCAAUUUAGCAUAGCCAGUUCACCAAAUCCGCACACCUUUGGAUUGUGAGAGGAAAUCAGAGGAAAUCUAUGCAGACAUUGGGAGAGUAUGCAGAGUCCACACAGUUACCCGAGGCUGGAAUAGAACCGAGGUUCUUGGUGCUGUGAAGCUGCAGAGUUAACCACUGAAUGAUUGUGCUUGGGCAUAGAUAAAUCCAUUGGGACCUUGUUCUGAAUGAAAAUGUACCACUUACGUAAGUUUGUUUAAAAUACACAU